rnacentral:misc_RNA from 1 species
AAAAAAGUAAUUUUUUUAACAGCACUUUCUACCGCAAUAACAAAGGGGCCAUAAAAUAACUUUGUUAUUGUUUAUGAAUAGUUCCAGAUCUUAAAAGCUUGCGUCACAUCAAAAAUCAAAACAAAAAUAGAAAUUUAUUUGUUCAUCUAUUUGAAACUAGUCCAACAUCGACUAUUGCUACAAAUUAAGACAAUUUUAUGUUAGCACUUAACUAAUAUAUUUAAAAAAAUAAUUUUUUCAAUAGCAAUUUUAACAAUAAUAACAAACACGACAUAAAAUAACUUUGUUGUUGUUC